UCUGUCCCCAGCGGCCUCAGGCUAUGGGACCCAGAACAUUCGACUGAGCCGGGAUGCCGUGAAGGACUUCGACUGCUGUUGUCUCUCCCUGCAGCCUUGCCACGAUCCUGUUGUCACCCCAGAUGGCUACCUGUAUGAGCGUGAGGCCAUCCUGGAGUACAUUCUGCACCAGAAGAAGGAGAUUGCCCGGCAAAUGAAGGUGGCUCCCCCUGUGCCCAUGUCCUCCACGCAGCCUGGUGGUCAUGUCGGAGGCCCUCAUGAGCAUCCAUCACUGUCACUGUUACCUCCUCACUCAGCUGGGUGGCCCAGGGUGGUCUCAAACUGCAGCACCGCCCGGGCACCUGCUGUGCACCAGUGAGGGCUGAGCUCAGGACAUGGCUUCACUCCUCCCGUCCUCACUCACUGCCCGUCCGUAGACACGGGCUCCUCAGCAUUCCCUUAGAUCUGGAGUCUACAUCCCCCGUCCCAAACACGGUCUGGGGCAUGCACUGUAUAGAAAACCUAAUUGGCCAGCAGGUGACAUUAAUUAAAUGCUUAGUUGAGUGCCAGGUGAGGCUCUCCAUGCUUUAAACACUCACCUUAUGUAACCCUUCAGUGAGUCACUGAGGUGGGUAACCACCGUUAGCCUGUUUUAUAGAUGAAGAAACUGAGGCCAGGAGAGGUCAUAGUGCUCACUUAGGCCACAGAGUGACAGAGAUGGGCUUUGAGCCCUGGCGCUCUGGCUAUACAACGCAGUAAGGUUCACACCCGCCCAGGCAGUGACCACCCUCUGCCAGAUAGUGCCUCCAUCAGAGGGUCCCCUUUGCGGGCCUCAGUUUACCUACCUGUGAAAUGGGAGGAAGAUACCCCCAGCCUCACGGGCAGAUGC
rnacentral:sRNA from 1 species